CCGUGCCGAUUUCGUAUUCUUUUUACUAUUAUUCCCGUAUCAGUAUAUCGAACAAAAGAAAAUAGGUUGGAUAUUUUAAUUUCGUCCGUGUUACUAUGAUUAUCCAUAGUUCAAUGCUGAAUGCCGAUUUAUCACUAUGAGCUAAAAUUUUAUUGCACUUCCUAGUUGUUAACGACUGUUGUCUUUCUCUCUGUGCCAUAAGCCACUGCGAGGGUUCGGCGCUAGAUUCUCUGGCCUGCGAUUGCGACGCGAAUUCUCUCU